AUUUGACAAUAACUCAGCGAUCACUCAGCGCGGCUGGCAGUCAGUCUCGUGUACGCGAUUCAAGUCGAAGGCAGCUUAGUUUGCGCUUUAGUUUAUUGUUUCUUUUGCUUUGUUGACAUUUGUGUCGGGUGCGGGGAAUAAUUCGAUGUGAAAGUAAAUUUUUUUGUUCGAAGUUUUCGAUUGUUUUUGUGAGCAUUUGCGAAAAUGAUUAUUUUUUGAACGAUUUUAGACGUUUAGUACAUUGAUUACUCGCCGAAAACUUUGGCUAAUCUGAACGCCUAAGCGGUUGCUGCAAAUCGAAAGUAUUUUGUUUUUAUCGUCGUUGUUCUUGUUUAUUGAGGAAUUUAGACGCGCGUCAAAGCAAAAAUAAUAAUUUCCGUAACAAAUCGCGUUGUUGUAGUUCGUGUGUGCCGAAUUUAACGUUGUAUGUUUGUGAAUUUGUGAAAAAUUCGGUGUAAUUAGUUGUUGUAAUCGGUAAACUAUAUACAUACCAGCAUAUAGACAUAUCUAUGAAUAUCACCAGCGCUGCCACUGAGAGAUACGUAAAGUGGUGAAUCGAACACUCCAAAUAGGCGAGCAGUGAAUCCAUACUUAGUUUCAGCGUCAUUAAUGCAUUUUUUCUAGCAAAGCUGAUAAUAUAACAUUAGAACCGAGAAACCUUAAACCCAAAACGUCAAAAUUUAUUAAAAUAAAAAGAAAUCAUAGCAACACAACUCGCUAAUCUAAGCGAGCGACUGUGCGCGUUACUGCCAAUCACGUCGACGCAACACGUAGUAGUCAUUAGUGUGUGAAACUCGAGUAGCAGCCACAGGAUACCAGACAGCAGACGAGACAGCUGAAAGUAGUUGGAAGGCGUUUUCUGUGCCGCUGGUUGUUGUUGUUCGACAAUCGAAUCACAGCCAGACAGCAGCGAAGCGCUUGCACGCGGUGUGGACGUUGUUGUUGACGUCUCUGCGUGCGGUAUUCUUCGUCGCAUAGCGCGUAGCUCACGCGCACGUGACACAGGCAAACACACAUAGGAACGGAUAGGAUCUGGUAACCGUGACGGCUGGUAGGCGGAGUGACACAUUUAUUUUUUUAGUUUGAUUGCAACGACAUGGCCUGCGUAAAUUGUGAGCUGGCCGCAAUUAUGAAAUGGCGACUAGCGGUGAUAUAUCGAUGAUCUCACCACCAUCGUCUUCCAUUUCGAACGGCCAGGAUCCAUUCGGACAAUUGCCGCCGCUGCCACCGCCACUGCGUUCAACACAAGUGCUUCAACCGCUAACGGUUUUUCCAGGUG